AACGAACGCUGGCGGCAGGCCUAACACAUGCAAGUCGAGCGCACCUUCGGGUGAGCGGCGGACGGGUUAGUAACGCGUGGGAACGUACCCUUUUCUACGGAAUAGCCUUUGGAAACGAAGAGUAAUACCGUAUACGCCCUUUGGGGGAAAGAUUUAUCGGAGAAGGAUCGGCCCGCGUUAGAUUAGAUAGUUGGUGGGGUAACGGCCUACCAAGUCUACGAUCUAUAGCUGGUUUUAGAGGAUGAUCAGCAACACUGGGACUGAGACACGGCCCAGACUCUUACGGGAGGCAGCAGUGGGGAAUCUUAGACAAUGGGCGCAAGCCUGAUCUAGCCAUGCCGCGUGAGUGAUGAAGGCCUUAGGGUCGUAAAGCUCUUUCGCCUGUGAUGAUAAUGACAGUAGCAGGUAAAGAAACCCCGGCUAACUCCGUGCCAGCAGCCGCGGUAAUACGGAGGGGGUUAGCGUUGUUCGGAAUUACUGGGCGUAAAGCGCACGUAGGCGGAUUGGAAAGUUGGGGGUGAAAUCCCGGGGCUCAACCCCGGAACUGCCUCCAAAACUAUCAGUCUAGAGUUCGAGAGAGGUGAGUGGAAUUCCAAGUGUAGAGGUGAAAUUCGUAGAUAUUUGGAGGAACACCAGUGGCGAAGGCGGCUCUCUGGCUCGAUACUGACGCUGA
rnacentral:rRNA from 1 species